UGGGAAUUUUGGACAAUGGGGCAACCCUGAUCCAGCAAUGCCGCGUGUGUGAAGAAGGCCUUCGGGUUGUAAAGCACUUUUGUCCGGAAAGAAAUCGCCCUGGCUAAUAUCCGGGGUGGAUGACGGUACUGGAAGAAUAAGCACCGGCUAACUACGUGCCAGCAGCCGCGGUAAUACGUAGGGUGCAAGCGUUAAUCGGAAUUACUGGGCGUAAAGCGUGCGCAGGCGGUUGUGCAAGACAGAUGUGAAAUCCCCGGGGCUUAAACCUGGGAAGGCAUUUGUGACUGCACGGCUAGAGUGUGUCAGAGGGGGGUAGAAUUCCACGUGUAGCAGUGAAAUGCGUAGAUAUGUGGAGGAACACCGAUGGCGAAGGCAGCCCCCUGGGAUAACACUGACGCUCAUGCAACGAAAAGCCGUGGGGGAGCAAAACAGGAUUAGAUACCCUGGUAGUCCACGCCCUAAAAGCGAAUGUCAACUAGUUGUCGGGNCUUAAUUGACUUGGUAAACGCAGCUAAACGCGUGAAG
rnacentral:rRNA from 1 species